rnacentral:rRNA from 1 species
CCUACGGGAGGCUGCAGUGGGGGAUAUUGCACAAUGGGGGGAACCCUGAUGCAGCGACGCCGCGUGGGUGAAGGAGUGCUUCGGCAUGUAAAGCCCUAUUGGCAGGGAAGAAGCAAGACGGUACCUGACUAAGAAGCCCCGGCUAACUACGUGCCAGCAGCCGCGGUAAUACGGAGGGGGCGAGCGUUAUCCGGAUUCACUGGGUGUAAAGGGAGCGUAGGCGGCCAUGCAAGCCAGGGGUGAAAGCCCGGGGCCCAACCCCGGGACUGCCCUUGGAACUGCAUGGCUUGAGUGCGGGAGGGGCAGGCGGAAUUCGUGGUGUAGCGGUGAAAUGCGUAGAUAUCAGGAAGAACACCGACGGCGAAGGCGGCCCGCUGGACCGCGACUGACGCUGAGGCUCGAAAGCGUGGGGAGCGAACAGGAUUAGAUACCCCGGUAGUC